GCACAAGCGGUGGAGCAUGUGGUUCAAUUCGACGCAACGCGAAGAACCUUACCUGGGCUCGAAGCGCAGUGGACCGGGGUAGAAAUAUCCCUUCCCCUUAAAAGGCUGCUGCGGAGGUGCUGCAUGGCUGUCGUCAGCUCGUGUCGUGAGAUGUUGGGUUAAGUCCCGCAACGAGCGCAACCCUUAUCCCUAGUUGCCAUCGGGUCAAGCCGGGCACUCUAGUGAAACUGCCUGGGAUAACCAGGAGGAAGGUGGGGAUGACGUCAAGUCCUCAUGGCCUUUAUGUCCAGGGCUACACACGUGCUACAAUGGUCGGUACAAACCGUCGCAAACCCGCGAGGGGGAGCUAAUCGGAAAAAGCCGACCUCAGUUCGGAUUGGAGUCUGCAACUCGACUCCAUGAAGCUGGAAUCGCUAGUAAUCGCGGAUCAGAACGCCGCGGUGAAUACGUUCCCGGGC
rnacentral:rRNA from 1 species